rnacentral:rRNA from 1 species
UUCGGGGGACAGGGUGACAGGUGGUGCAUGGUUGUCGUCAGCUCGUGUCGUGAGAUGUUGGGUUAAGUCCCGCAACGAGCGCAACCCUCGACCUUAGUUGCCAUCAUUCAGUUGGGCACUCUAGCGAGACUGCCGGUAAUAAACCGGAGGAAGGUGGGAUGACGUCAAAUCAUCAUGCCCCUUAUGACCUGGGCUACACACGUGCUACAAUGGUUGGUACAACGAGUUGCGAGUCGGUGACGGCGAGCUAAUCUCUUAAAGCCAAUCUCAGUUCGGAUUGUAGGCUGCAACUCGCCUACAUGAAGUCGGAAUCGCUAGUAAUCGCGGAUCAGCACGCCGCGGUGAAUACGUUCCCGGGCCUU